rnacentral:rRNA from 1 species
AUUGAACGCUGGCGGCAGGCCUAACACAUGCAAGUCGAGCGAGUGGCGCACGGGUGAGUAAUAUAUCGUUAAUCUGCCCUACACAGAGGAACAACAGUUGGAAACGACUGCUACUACCUCAUAGUGUAGGAUGCGACUAUAUCGUUUCAGCUAGUUGGUAAGGUAAUGGCUUACCAAGGCUAUGACGCGUAACUGGUCUGAGAGGAUGAUCAGUCACAUUGGAACUGAGACGCGGUACAAACUCCUACGGGAGGCAGCAGUAAGGAAUAUUGCGCCAUGGGGGAAACCAUGACGCAGCAACGCCGCGUGGAGGAUGACACUUUUCGGAGCGUAAACUCCUUUUAGCAGGAAAGCGGUACCUGAUGAAUAAGCACCGGCUAACUCCGUGCCAGCCGCCGCGGUAAUAC